UACAGAGGCCUCAAGCGUUAGGCGGAAUCACUGGGCUUAAAGCGUGUGUAGGCGGGUCGUUAAGUACCUUGUGAAAUCCCACGGCUUAACUGUGGAACGGCUUGGUAUACUGGCGAUCUUGAGCCACUUAGGGGCUACCGGAACAGAUGGUGGAGCGGUGAAAUGCGUUGAUAUCAUCAGGAAUACCGGAGGCGAAGGCGGCUCACUGGGGGUUUUCUGACGCUGAGGAACGAAAGCCAGGGGAGCGAACGGG
rnacentral:rRNA from 1 species